rnacentral:rRNA from 1 species
AACGUAGGUGGCGAGCGUUAUCCGGAUUUACUGGGCGUAAAGCGUGUGCAGGCGGGGAGACAAGUGGUGUAUGAAAUUUCCCGGCUUAACCGGGAAGGGUUAUGCCAGACUGUCUUUCUGGAGUGCGAGAGAGGGGCGUGGAAUUCCGGGUGUAGUGGUGAAAUGCGUAGAGAUCCGGAGGAACCCCAGUGGCGAAGGCGGGUCUCUGGGCCGAUACUGACGCUGAGGAGCGAAAGCGUGGGGAGCGAACAGG